rnacentral:rRNA from 1 species
UCCUUGAUUCAGCGGCGGACGGGUGAGUAAUGCCUAAGAAUCUGCCUGGUAGUGGGGGACAACGUUUCGAAAGGAACGCUAAUACCGCAUACGUCCUACGGGAGAAAGCAGGGGACCUUCGGGCCUUGCGCUAUCAGAUGAGCCUAGGUCGGAUUAGCUAGUUGGUGGGGUAAUGGCUCACCAAGGCGACGAUCCGUAACUGGUCUGAGAGGAUGAUCAGUCACACUGGAACUGAGACACGGUCCAGACUCCUACGGGAGGCAGCAGUGGGGAAUAUUGGACAAUGGGCGAAAGCCUGAUCCAGCCAUGCCGCGUGUGUGAAGAAGGUCUUCGGAUUGUAAAGCACUUUAAGUUGGGAGGAAGGGCAGUAAGCUAAUACCUUGCUGUUUUGACGUUACCGACAGAAUAAGCACCGGCUAACUCUGUGCCAGCAGCCGCGGUAAUACAGAGGGUGCAAGCGUUAAUCGGAAUUACUGGGCGUAAAGCGCGCGUAGGUGGUUUGUUAAGUUGGAUGUGAAAGCCCCGGGCUCAACCUGGGAACUGCAUCCAAAACUGGCAAGCUAGAGUACGGUAGAGGGUGGUGGAAUUUCCUGUGUAGCGGUGAAAUGCGUAGAUAUAGGAAGGAACACCAGUGGCGAAGGCGACCACCUGGACUGAUACUGACACUGAGGUGCGAAAGCGUGGGGAGCAAACAGGAUUA